AUACGGAGGAUGCGAGCGUUAUCCGGAUUUAUUGGGGUUAAAGGGAGCGUAGGUGGGAUAUUAAGUCAGCUGUGAAAGUUUGGGGCUCAACCUUAAAAUUGCAGUUGAUACUGGUUUCCUUGAGUACGGUACAGGUGGGCGGAAUUCGUGGUGUAGCGGUGAAAGGCUUAGAUAUCACGAAGAACUCCGAUCGCGAAGGCAGCUCACCGGGCCGGAACUGACACUGAUGCUCGAAAGUGCGGGUAUCAAACAGGAUUAGAUACCCUGGUAGUCCGCACAGUAAACGAUGAAUACUCGCUGUUUGCGAUACACGGUAAGCGGCCAAGCGAAAGCGUUAAGUAUUCCACCUAGGGAGUACGCCGGCAACGGUGAAACUCAAAUGAAUUGACGGGG
rnacentral:rRNA from 1 species